CUGUGGGCAAUGGUAGCAGCAGCUGUCUGUACAACCCAGGAGUGCAGCCAACUGGGGUGCUGGCAAAUUGCAGGCAAACUUACAGUUUCAGUGCAACAGCCAUGAAAACAGCGUGGAUAGCUUGGCCUCCAUGUUGGAAUCAAUGGAUAGCUGUUCCUGAGACUCGGAGAGGGGCUUUAGAUGACAAAACUGCUCCAACCAGGAAGACGUGGGUCAAACGAGGGAGGAAGCAACAGGCUCCUUGACAGUGUCACUCAUAAGACUGGCAUGUUGUUUGCUCUGGACCUGUUCUGCCACCUCGAGAAUGGAGAGAAAUGACAGACCAGGAAGGAAAACAAAAAUACAUCCAACAUUAUGUAAGUUCACUGGAUCAAGGAACAAUUUUGAUAUGUGCUGGGUUGAUGGCCAGCUUCAUUGGAAACAAAUUCCAGCUCAUCUCCGUUUUCGGUGUUGCAACACAGAGAAGAACAACACAGACAUAGUCGGAACGGUAAGCAAUAUUAAAGAGCUUUGUAAUCCAAUCAA
rnacentral:lncRNA from 1 species